rnacentral:tmRNA from 1 species
GGGGCUGCACUGGUUUCGACGUGGGUACGGAAUCGCUGUGGUGCAUGUCGAGCUUGAGUAACGCUCGUAAAAAUCGACUCAACAAACUAACUGCAAACGACGAACGUUUCGCACUCGCUGCUUAAUAACCAGUGAGCCUUACAACAGCAGGCCGAUGGGCUGGGCAAGGGUGCCGCAAGGCGUCCAGGCUGUAAGGUUAUUCACAUCGGCUGGCUUCGGACCGGGUACCUUGGUUCAGAGCGAGACAAUAGGGUGCUGGCGUCCUGUGUAGCGUGCGACUGCGCGACACAGGUGGCGAGACUUAAAUCAGACCGCUAAACAUGUAGAUCUGCGCGAAGAAGGCUUGCGGACGGGGGUUCGAAUCCCCCCAGCUCCACCA